rnacentral:rRNA from 1 species
GACGAACCGUGCGAACGUUGUUCGGAAUCACUGGGCAUAAAGGGCGCGUAGGCGGCUUUUCAAGUCAGGGGUGAAAUCCGGCAGCUCAACUGUCGAAGUGCCCUUGAUACUGAUGAGCUCGAGGGAGGUAGGGGUGUGUGGAACUUCCGGUGGAGCGGUGAAAUGCGUUGAUAUCGGAAGGAACGCCGGUGGCGAAAGCGACGCACUGGACCUCUUCUGACGCUGAGGCGCGAAAGCCAGGGGAGCGAACGGG